AUACAUGCAAGUCGAGCGAACUGAUUAGAAGCUUGCUUCUAUGACGUUAGCGGCGGACGGGUGAGUAACACGUGGGCAACCUGCCUGUAAGACUGGGAUAACUUCGGGAAACCGAAGCUAAUACCGGAUAGGAUCUUCUCCUUCAUGGGAGAUGAUUGAAAGAUGGUUUCGGCUAUCACUUACAGAUGGGCCCGCGGUGCAUUAGCUAGUUGGUGAGGUAACGGCUCACCAAGGCAACGAUGCAUAGCCGACCUGAGAGGGUGAUCGGCCACACUGGGACUGAGACACGGCCCAGACUCCUACGGGAGGCAGCAGUAGGGAAUCUUCCGCAAUGGACGAAAGUCUGACGGAGCAACGCCGCGUGAGUGAUGAAGGCUUUCGGGUCGUAAAACUCUGUUGUUAGGGAAGAACAAGUACGAGAGUAACUGCUCGUACCUUGACGGUACCUAACCAGAAAGCCACGGCUAACUACGUGCCAGCAGCCGCGGUAAUACGUAGGUGGCAAGCGUUAUCCGGAAUUAUUGGGCGUAAAGCGCGCGCAGGCGGUUUCUUAAGUCUGAUGUGAAAGCCCACGGCUCAACC
rnacentral:rRNA from 2 species